rnacentral:rRNA from 1 species
CACGUAGUUAGCCGGAGCUUAUUCCUCAGGUACCGUCAAAUUCCUCUUUCUUCCCUGAUAAAAGAACUUUACAUUACGAAUAACUUCUUCGUUCACGCGGCGUUGCUCGGUCGAGGGUUCCCCCCACUUGCCGAAAAUUCCCUACUGCUGCCUCCCGUAGGAGUAUGGACCGUUCUCAGUUCCAUUGUGGCCGUUCAACCUCUCAGUCCGGCUACGCAUCAUCGCCUUGGUAGGCCCUUACCCCACCAACUAGCUAAUGCGCCACAGGCCCCUCCUUAAGCAGAUCUCUCUUUUAAAUAUAAAAGAUUCUUCCUCUAUAUCCUAUCCAGUUUUAUCCAUCGUUUCCAAUGGCUAUCCUCGUCUUAAGGGUAGGUUACCCUAUGUAUUACUCACCCGUUCGCCACUAAAGUACCCGAAGGUACCUUACCGUUCGACCUUGCCAUGUAUUAGCACGCCGCCAGCGUUAAGUCCCUGUACGCCUAGGACUCAAAACUACU